rnacentral:lncRNA from 1 species
AUAAAAUAUUCAGUUUUUAUGAAAUGCCCAUAUUUUCCAAAGCACUCAAAAUAUAGUGCUACAUAUCUUAGAGGUUUUUGGCAAAGAUGACUCUGGUCAUUCUGUGUGUACCCAGAACUUCUCAUCACUUGAAUGAUCUUGUACAUUUAAUACAACUUGUUCAUGUGAAGAUUAGAUUUUCUUUUUUUAGCCUUUGAAAUGUUCUUCAUAGGAGAAAUUUCAAACACACAACAGAGCGGCAAACUCUGCAUACACAUUGUCUGCUCACAAAUCAUGUGUGUAGAGACACUCACUUCUCCACCCCAGCCACAGUGCCUCCCACGAUGGUAUUAUUUUAAAGGAUGUCCUAGGUAUAUCACUUUAUUUGUAGAUUCUUUUGCCUAUGUAUCUCUGAAAACUGUGCCUAGGGAGUAUAGCUCAGUGGUUAGCACCCAUAAGCCUUGGUUUGGGGUUCCCCUGCUCCAUAAGAGGAGAAAGAAAGAAAAAAAGGAAGGAAGGAAGGAACAAAGAAGGAAGAAAAGAAAGACAGAAAGACUGAGAAUCCUACUCAUUGUCUUGUAUAUUGUACUUAUUUUUAGAAUUUCUAUUUAGCUAUUUAUUUGUUUUAAGACAGAAUCUCCUGUAGCCUUGAACUCCUGGUCCUUCCGCCUCUACCACCGUGUGUUGAGAUUAGUGGUGUAAACCACCCGUCAUACUGGGCAUUUCUCUGUCAGUUUCUCUGUUCAGAUUUCCCAGUCAUGCUCUUGUAACAAUUGUUACAUUUUAUUUUAUGAGACAGGGUCUUGUGUAGGGCGGGCUUGAAUUCCUGGUCCUUCUGCCAUUUCCAAGCAUGUGCUGCCACACCCAGUAAACAUAACAACUUUUUAAAAAAAGAUUUAUUUUUUAUUUAUGUGCAUGCAUGUAAUCCAUCUUGAGUUUACGUGCACCACAUAUGUGCAGGUACCUGAGGAGGCCAGAGGGAGUCAUAUCCCCUGGAACUGAAAUUAUAGGCAGUUGUGAGCCAUAAGAUACAGGUUAUGAGAAUCCAACUGGCCAGAUCCUCUGGAAGAGCAGUAAGUGCUUUUAACCACGGAACCAUCUCUCUAGCCCCGUAACGGCUAUUUUAAACACUUGAAAUCAGAGUUUCCCCACAGUCUGUCUUAUUUGAUGAUGGUGGUGAUGAUGGUGGUGAUAAUUGAUUGGCUACACUUUCCUGCUUCACAGCUCAUGUAACAUAAUUAUAUAUGUAACACAAUGACUGGUAUCUUUUGGAGAUUAUGUUGAUUUUUUUUCUUUAAAAUAUGUUGAGUAUUAGGCAGGUAGUUUGGUUCUCCCACACUUGGUGUUAUCUUUGUUAGAACAGAUUUUUUUUUGGGGGGGUGCCUUUAUUUUUAGGGGAAAUACCAGAGGUCUUACUCCAAUGUAGAACUCAGUAAAGGUCAGAUAGUAUCUUAGACUUUUGUGAGCAAUAUUCUCUGUUACAAUUACACAACUCUGCCAAGUACAAGUGAACAUAGCUGUGUUCUAAUAAAACUUCAUUUACAAAGACUAGCAGCCAGCUAGAUGGGAUUUGUCCUCUCUUGCUCUGUUAACAGGCAUGAUUCUUAACUCCUAAGCCUAGACUUUCUGGGAUCUCAGUUGCAUGCUGUCGGGGAGGCUUGGUGAGGUUCGCUCAGGGAAGUGUGUUGGCUCUGGACGUGAACUGGAGCUCCUACUUGUACCAGCCCUGCAAACCCUGGAAUCAGUUCAGCUUGCAGCCUGCAGCAGCUUAGCCUGAUAGAUUCUGUGGAGUGUUGUGUUCUUUUCCAGCUGCUUGCAGAUCAAACCUCUGUUCUCUGACUUAGCCAAGCAGUCAGCUGGUGCACGGGCUCACUUUCCAAUGCCACAUCUGGGGAGGUUUUACGGAGCAGAAAUCUGGGAGGUGAUUAAAUUUGUUUUCUCUUAAAGGCUCACUGUCCUCUGCAUUGCCUGGUUGCUAUGCUGUGUGAUAGAAGAGGGUUGUUAGGAUCUGAGAGCUCAUGCAUUGUAGACAAAUAGAGAACUAUAACUCACUGUGAUUUAUUUGACUUACUUAUGCCUUCACAGCCUUGUUCAUCAUCAAAGGAAGUCUGGGCAGAAAUGCAAACAGGGCAGGACCUGGAGACAGGAGCUGAUGCAGAGGCCGUGGUGGGGUGGUGUUUACUGGUUUGCUCCCUGUGGCUUGCUCGGCCUUCUUUCUUAUAGAACCCAGGACUACUGACUGGCCCAGCGGUGCCCCACCCACAAUGGGCUGGGACCUCCCCCAUCAGUCACUAAUUAAGAAAUGCCUUACAAGAUUGGCUUUAGCUUGAUAAUAUGGAGAUAUUUUUUUCAACUGAGGUUCCCCUGUCUCAAAAGGUGGUAGCACAUGUCAGGGUUACAUAAAACUAGCCAGUACAGUCACUUCCAUCACAAGUCACGUUGCUUUGUAUCACCCUCAUUUCUUCUUUCUCUUUCAGUGUUUACUUUGUAUAGAAAUCCGUUUAAGAAAUCUUGUUGCACCAAGCGGUGGUGGCACAGGCCUUUAAUCCUAGCUCUUGGGAGGCAGGGAGAUGGACUACAUAGUGAGUUCUAGGCUAGCCUGGGGUUACAGAAUGAGACAUUGUCUCAAAAACAAUAUUCUGAGUCGGGUGAAUCUCUGUGAGUUCCAAGCCAGUCUGGUCUAGAAAGUGAGUUCUAGGACAGCCAGGCUGUUACUGUAGUGGAGUAUUCAGCAGAGAAGACUGCUCGGGCAUGGGUUUAAGCCAAUAGAAAGUGUUUAUUAGCCCUCUAGCAAGUACACUGGGUGUUUGGGAAACCAGUGUAGCACUGAGCCUUUCUCAGGGUGAGCUUUUAACCACAAAAACCAUGUUCUGGGUUGACAUAAUUCAGUUAAAAAGAACAGUUAGCCAGAAGCAGAAUUACAGAAGCUAGAAAGCAAGGUUAGUACGUUUAUAGACUUUCCUGGAACUAUGGACUCUGCUGGAUCAGGCCUCUGUUGUAGUUUUGGCUGGUGGUGCUGUCUAUGUGCUGAAUUUUACAGCCUGAAUGGAGCUUCCAUCCUAUAGUCAGUUGUGCUGAGAUCUGGGGCACUGUCACAUUACACAGAGAAACCUGUCCAAAACAACACAAUGAUAAAAACAAUAAUAAAAAAAAAAACACACACACCCAGAAAACAAGCUAUGUUCCCUCUCUCUCCUACGGUUACCACCCAGCUUUAACCAGUGCCGUGCUUUCCUUGGAUUAAUGCUUGGUACUGGUGUCUCUGUCUCCAUCCCUGCCUUCUGUAUUUCAUUGUGAACAUAGCAGCCUGGCGGAUCUUAUAAAAUGUAAAUCAGAUCAUGUCGUUCUCUUUUGCUUAAAGCCCUCAGAGUGAAGGUCAGAUGCUUGUAUGGCCUCGAAGGCCCUGCACACAGCACCCUGCAUACAGCACCCUGCCCUUCUUGGUUCCUCGGAAAGCUGAUUGUGUGGUGCCCGUCCCCUGCAGAAUGUAAGAGCGACGGGACUUGAGUUCCCUUUGUUCUCUGACGUGUGUCAAGCGCCCAGAAUAAUGUCUGAUAUGUAAGAUUCAGUGAAGAUUUCUUUUUGAAUGAAUGAAUGGAAAGUGGCUGGUUAAUGGUGCUACAAUAAAGUUAUUAAUAGUGAAUCAAAGAAUGUGUUGAGAUGCAGAGGCAAGAGCUAUUAGAAAUAAAAAGGAAAAAUAGAUAAAAACCACAGUCACACUGGAGGCUUAGAAGGUGACAAGGAGAUACAAUAAAGUUAUUGAAGUUCAGAGUGUGUAAUUAGUAAGUUUGAUUCAGUAAUUAAAUUUGAUGCUUUGGAUUUAAGAUAUCUUUAUUUUUAUUUUUAUAAAUAUGCAUAAAGCAACAACC